rnacentral:lncRNA from 1 species
CAAAAGGAACACGACGCUUCGUGCAGACCACAAGCUUGACGUUCUUCGGUACGUCUGCCGGGCACGCGCGGGUGAAAUGUGGACGGGCGUCGCGCAAGACGGCGCAGAAUUAGAUCGAGGAAAAAGUCAAAAUUAAUCUGCAUGAAACGUUUCCCCUGUGCUCCUGCACUGGAAACGCAAUAUCUUUGCACAGUGGCGAAGGCAUUUGCCCUUGCCUCCAGAAACACACUCUGCCGAACAUUUCAAAUAGGGCUUCAUCCCCAGCCCUCAAUGGUUACCCCUAGAAACUACUGCCACGUUCGCCCAAAUCUGCUAUCGCAAAAACAAGCCAAGGUGAACGGUAUCACCGACCUUCUCCGUGUCCGCUUCGCGGACAGCGGAGUAGGCGCUCCUGUCUCCCAGAAUCAGGUGUAUACACCCAGCAUCAAACCAUUUUAUCAGCACUGCCGAGGGACUGAAGACUCACAGAGUUGUGUCAUGCCUUCGCAAGCACCCCAGAAAUGUUUUCUCAGUUGCGUACCAGGGGGUCCGGUUCGGCAUACACUGCAAACAGAGGCGGCUUCGCGAAGGCCUUUCGAAAUUUAAAGUUGACUUUUACCGUUUACGGAAUUUUUACGGGAGCCUCAGGCGCAUCGGCAGAUCCAGAAACGGCCUCUGCACCUGGAUCCUCUUGCUCCAUUAACCUAUCUGCGACAUGGGGGGGGAGGAGGUACGACAAGAUCGGCUCCGGGUGUCUCGACAUCUAGCUCUACCUGUUCGACUUCUUCAGCGUCUUGGCCUCGUCUCUCGGACCUCUGUGCUUCUUUUGCACCUGAUGAGGUCGGCGGGGUAGGGGGAUCUCCGAUCCGGCUCCACGAUCCUCUGCCUUUCCUUCCUCUGUCUGGGGUUUAGGGUGACCCUCAUGUUGCCCGAACAAUGGCUUCUGCGAUAUGAAGGAGUGAAACUCUUGAAAAUCCUCGUCACUGGGAGGCGAGAAGUGCAUCAUAGGCAUGCGACUGUGUCUUGAAGAGGAAAAACUGUUGUGCGCGCCACGGAGCAUCCCGUACGGGUGACGUUCGUAGCCGUGAGCCCCGUCCAUCGCGUUUUUCGAAUUGUCUGUUGCAGGACGAUCAGGGAACCUUCCCCGCGUUUCAUGCGGUUUGCCAUGUCCGUGGUGACCCAAGCGCACGCUAGAGAGGCCGUGCCGCUUCUUCGUGCCAUAUCCUGCCAUUCCGUGGCUGAAGGAGUACAUUCGGAAUCCUCUUGUUUCCCCGUGGAUGGCGGUGCAUGUGGUGGUACGGCAUAUGAGGCAAAGGCAUCAUAAGGUGAUGUGGAGUUAACAGCAUGAUGGGAAUGAGGACCGUGCGAACAAAACCCGUGAAACAGAGGCCCGUGGCUACCAUGGAAGUGAAAGUCACUGUGAUGAUCCAGCUACAUUCACGGCUCCCCCGACUCCUCGCUUCUUUCGUUCUCGGGCUGGUCCCAGGGUCCUCACGGUCUUUCGGAUGGCUGUCGCCUUUCCCAAAUAUGUCAGUGUGGGGAGCGGGAGCCUCAGAUCGCCGAUCUCGCGAGUGAGGCCGAAAAAAUGGUCCAGCACGUGCUUGCGGGUCUCCCUCUCCCGGGCCAUAAUGUCAGUGACCCUGUGAUACCCGUGGUGCUCAGGGUGUCCAUGAGACCCAUGAGGCUCGUGAGGUUCACCCGAAUCCACGAGGCGAGGCCACUAAGUCCCGCGAGGUUCAUCAUGCCCAUGCGGUUCAUUGGACCCGUGACUCCCGUCGUGGACGCGACGCCGGUGUGCAUGGUAAUCAAGGUGCCCCUUGGAAGCAUGCGCCUUCUAAAUUGACUGGAGAGCCGAGACGAGGGAUGCAAAGCCAUCUUCGUCCUGUCUCGGGUGCUGGAACUCGCGCGGCACAGACGAGCUGUGUGGCUCCGAUUUCCUCGAGAUAUGGUGAAGAUGGUGGUGUCUAUAGAAAUGCAGUGAGGGGGAAAGCGCCUGAGCCCUGAUGAGCAACGCUUUGCGUGAUUUUUGCAAUCUCUGCCAGGGGCUGCCGUCUAGGGUGGCCAAGAGGGAACUUCCCGCGAUAUCUGGGGGGGGGACCUGUGCCUCGUCUCAGAGGUCCUCUGUCCCGUCUGGGGGAAGCCCGUACCAGCUGACUCUUCGGCGCUCUUUUCCCCCGCCGAACUUUGAAUUGAGAGACCGGGCAGACCCCUCCCUCGGUUCCUCAUCGUGGAGCGCGGGUCCAUGGGGAUGCGCCACGUGUCGAACAUUAACAAGUGUUGCUGGAUCUUGUCCCACUAGAUCUGCGACUGUUCAGUGUUCCAGAUGGGUAUUCGGAACUACCGUUGUACUCCAUACCAAAACACCGUGUCUCCAGUACAGAGGCUCGCCAAAUAGAGUUUGAGAACAGUCACGCGCGUAACUCCGUCGCCACCUAGUGAUACUUCAGAAGCACCUCACGCAUUCGCUAGCGUCUUCUUUUACCAAAGGCGAUGUUGCGCCACCAUGUUACCGGCUAACAUAAAUAACGGAGGGUCAACUUAGAUGAGAAGAUGAAGCUCAUUAUUCCUUGCACGGUUUAUCUGCCAGCGCAACGGCGGAUAAGCAUUCGGGCAUUCAGAGCCCGACUCUCUGGGAGGACUCACAGACGAAUAGGUAAUGCGACAUUUAUACAUGCACUAACUGGCGGCUUUAUAUCUGAUGUAGCCCGUUCAAACACUUGUAAUAC